UUGGAGGGCAAGUCUGGUGCCAGCAGCCGCGGUAAUUCCAGCUCCAAUAGCGUAUAUUAAAGUUGUUGCAGUUAAAAAGCUCGUAGUUGAAUUUCGGGGUUAGUAGGUUGGUCAUGCCUCUGGUAUGUACUGGUCUCACUGAUUCCUCCUUCCUGAUGAGCCGUAAUGCCAUUAAUUUGGUGUUGCGGGGAAUUUGGACUGUUACUUUGAAAAAAUUAGAGUGUUUAAAGCAAGCUAACGCUUGAAUACAUUAGCAUGGAAUAAUGAAAUAGGACGUUCGAUCCUAUUUUGUUGGUUUCUAGGAUUGACGUAAUGAUUAAUAGGGAUGGUUGGGGGCAUUAGUAUUCAAUUGUCAGAGGUGAAAUUCUUGGAUUUAUUGAAGACUAACUACUGCGAAAGCAUUUGCCAAGGAUGUUUUCAUUAAUCAAGAACGAAAGUUAGGGGAUCGAAGACGAUCAGAUACCGUCGUAGUCUUAACCAUAAACUAUGCCGACUAGGGAUCGGAUGAUGUUAAUUUUUUAAUGACUCAUUCGGCGCCUUACGGGAAAC
rnacentral:rRNA from 1 species